UUGUGUUCAGUCUUUUAACGCACAUAUUCAAGACAAGUGUUCUAAAUUGAACACUUAAAAUGUUCUUAUAUUGUAAUGGGGAGUGAAAUUUUUUUUCAUCAUUUCAGAGUCAAACAGACGAUGAAUAAGGGUGAUUCGUACUAUGAUUUGACGAUAAAUGUAUUUUAGCUGUAUCGGCAUAUAAGCAAAUUAUAGUUUGGUAAAAAAAAAAUGAAACAUUUUACAAGAGCGUAUUUAUAAGCGUGCAAAUGAUUGAUUUUUAAUAUGAAUCUUUUUCUAAACGACUUAAGUUCUUAAGGUAUUUUUUUUAACAAUGUAAAUGCGUAAAUGCUCAUGAAAACGUUGCUCUUGUAAAAGCGUUCUGGUGUCGAACAUGAUGCGUUCAAAUUUACCAUUUUCCCUGAACGCCAUGUGUUCCAAACAUAUCCGCGUACAUAACAGCGCGUGACGUAUUAAUGUACCGGAAGUUUGGUUUUUGAUCGUGAUUGAAGAAGCUUCACUGAAGAAAAUUAACAACAAAACUUGAUAUAAUAGGGUACAAACCCAACUAUACUAUACUUAAGGGUAAUUGUUCGUGCAUACCUCGAGAAUAAAGAGAACAUGUUGCAGUUCAAGAGAUGACUACUUAUCCUGCACCAUAAAAGUACUAUAUAACUUACGGUUGAUGGAUAACAAGGUUAAAGAGUAGUUAACCCAAGGAGACGAAUCCUCUAAAAAUGGAAGCUCAAAAUCAGUUGUAAAUGACUCAAAUCAUGUUUAAAAGUGUCCAAGGAAGCAGUGUUACAUGAACGUCGACUCGACUACUAGCAGGAUAUACACAGGGUAUUUUAUGUUUGAUAUUGACUAUCUGAGUGCUAUGCAGCCAGUGGAUUAUGGAACAUUUUGGUGAUAAAAGAGUCAGUGGCAUCAGUAUUUUGUAAAGAAAUUCAGAACAGUUCUUGACUUAGGAAGUUGCAAACGAUGAGUUAAACAUAAGACACUUGACUUUGUUGUAACAUAAUAAUUUUAAAUAUAUGACGAACAUUUUGUUUAUGAGUAAAUAUUUGGACACAUUUUGCAAAU